rnacentral:tRNA from 1 species
UAAAACCUACAGAACUUAUCUACAUCUCCUGACUGCAAAUCAGACGCUUUUAUUAAACUAAGGCUUC